AUUGAACGCUGGCGGCAGGCUUAACACAUGCAAGUCGAGCGAGCGGCGGACGGGUGAGUAAUGUCUGGGAACCUGCCUGCUGGAGGGGGAUAACUACUGGAAACGGUAGCUAAUACCGCAUACCAUCAGCUUUUCCCCGAUGGGAUUAGCUAGUAGGUGGGGGAAUGGCUAACAUAGGCGACGAUCCCUAGCUGGUCUGAGAGGAUGACAAGCCACACUGGUACUGAGAACAGGUCCAGACUCCUACGGGAGGCAGCAGUGGGGUAUAUUGCACAAGGGGAGCAAGCCUGAUACAGCCAUGCCGCAUGUGUGAAGAAGGCCUUCGGGUUGGAAAGAACUUUCAGCGAGGAGGCGUUACUCGCAGAAGAAGCACCGGCUAACUCCGUGCCAGCCGCCGCGGUAAUUC
rnacentral:rRNA from 1 species